rnacentral:rRNA from 1 species
UACGGAGGGGGCUAGCGUUGUUCGGAAUUACUGGGCGUAAAGCGCACGUAGGCGGCUUUGUAAGUUAGAGGUGAAAGCCUGGAGCUCAACUCCAGAAUUGCCUUUAAGACUGCAUCGCUUGAAUCCAGGAGAGGUGAGUGGAAUUCCGAGUGUAGAGGUGAAAUUCGUAGAUAUUCGGAAGAACACCAGUGGCGAAGGCGGCUCACUGGACUGGUAUUGACGCUGAGGUGGCGAAAAGCGUGGGGAGCAAACAGG